CGCCCUUCCUGUGACUUCGCCGAAAGGUGUCGCUUUCUUGAGAAGGAAUGAUGGGAAAUGGCUAUGUGGAGGAAGUGGACAGCUGAUGUGAUGUCUUAUCAUUAACCACUGGCAUAAUCUGCAAUGGGUUAGAACGAUAAUCAUGGCAUGACACAAAACGGGUGACUGAAAUAUUGUAAAAUGUCGAAUUUCAUUCCAAUGGUCUCGGCAUCACCGCCACCAUUUGAUGACCAUUCCUUUGGUUAUGAUGAUGAUGAUGACUUUGGCAACUUCACAGGGGCUGGAGAUAGUCAUGAAUCCUCUCCAGACCCGCCAGAACUACCUCCUCCUAUUGAAGCUGACCAUACAGACUCCACUGACGUGGUCAAGGAAAAUAUAAAGAAUAACAAUCCUCUGUCUGAGAAACAAACUAAUAUAAGUACAAAUGAAAAUGCAAAUGGUUUCCAUCAGCAAGAUGUUAAUUCUACAAAUACCUUAGUAAAUGGGAUUGAAGAAGAGUCUGAUUUUGCAGAUUUUGAGCAAUAUGAUGAUAAUCCCGAAAUAGAUGUUAGUUCAAAGAAACCUCAUAUUGAGAACUUACCCAUUCAAACAUCUUGUGAGAAUACUCCAAUAACAAUAAGUAAUCAUGAACUAAAGGACUUACAUGAAUCAAAAGACUCUCUCAGUGUACAAAGUGAAACCUCUCCUGACAAUGGCAGCUGCGAUUCUAGAUCUCCCACCUGUGAUGAUAAAGAUACAGUACCCACAUCAGUUAAAGCUUCAAGAGACUCAACAACAGAUUCAGGGAUGUUCAGCACAGACAUCUCCCCUGUGCCCAAGUCAGAAGAUACGGCCGAGUUCUGUGAUAAGAGCUGUGAAUCUGACAAUGAUGAUACAUUCCCUGAAUUGCCUAGAGACAAAAUAGAAUCCACAGAUAAUGAUUCUGUUUGUGAAUCUUGUGUACCAAAAGCUCCAGUAGAUUCAGAUGUGAUAGCAAAUGAAACAAGGACUAGUCUAGGGUUGGAUACAUGUUCCUCCACGGAUGACUGUGUUAGUGAGGAUAGUAGGGAAGAAAACUCAUGCCUGAGUCAUACCAAGGUAGAGGAGGAGGACACUAUACACAACAAAGAUGAUCAAACAGUGUCCUGCUCAUCUACUGACCAACAGGUCUCCCCUCUGGACAGUCGAGAUAAUUCUCAAGCUCUCUCUGAACAGAACGAAAAGUCUAGUCAGGAUGUUUCCUUGGGCCAUGUGGAGAGUUCUGGUCAGAUUGAAGAUGAGGAUGAUUGGGGUGACUUUGACUCUGCAGAUGAUGGUCUGCAGGGUGAGGACAGUGGUAUGACUCAGGAUCAGGCGUCGGAGAAGGAACAGAGUCAGGUAGAUGAGGAUUGUGUCAGUGGGACCAGUAGUGCAAUUGCAGAUGUACAAUCAGAAGAUGAAUGUUUGGAGGCUAUAGAAGAAGCUUUGAAAGAUUCCACUAAUACAGGGAGUGCUGAUUUGGAUGAACCAGAUCAGUUGGAGGUGAAUAUAGAUAUUGAUGCAGAAAUUCCAAAGAGCACAUCUGGUGUUUCUAUUGAAAAAGAUGAAACAAGUGAUAGUUCUCAGCUUCAGGCAGACUCUGAACCAUCCCAGGUUGAAUGUUGUGAUGUGAUAGAUGAAAGGACGGAAAGUGAUAUCGAUUCAAAGGAACACAAUGAGUUCACUGAAGAAAAUGUUUGUACUGAUGACAUUUCAGUACCAUGUGAUACUCAGGUGGAGGAAUCUGAUGGUUUUGUGGCCGCGGAGGAUGGGUGGAAUGCAUUUGGUGAGUUCUCUGACACUGCUGAUGGUGAUGACAACUGGGCAAAUUUCCAAUCUACUUCACAUGAUCCCACUCCAGGGGAACCCAAACCAAUGGAGGAUGAAGACUUCGGUGACUUUAACACAGCACAGGAUUCCAAGAAAGAAGAGGAGGGUGACUUUGGUGGUUUUACCUCAGUAAGUGAUAAAGACACUGCAGAUGCUGAUGGUGAUUGGGCUAACUUUGAGGAUUGCAAGUCUACAGCAAACCAGACAUCACAGAUUCCAUCUAAACUGCCAGUUCCUGAUACAACUGCCUCACUUUCAGCUCCACAUUCCAAGCAGGUGUCUUCAGAGAAGCUAGAUCACAUCUUGUCCUCAUGUUUCCCGUCCUUGGACUCCGGAGAGACUGAGACCUGCCCAUCUCAGCUGGAGGUUCUCAUCUCGGCUCAACCAGACAAGGGAACAGUCUCCAUGCACAUAUCCAAAACCACUACAGGGAAAGCAAGAGGGCCUGGUGUGGUGUGGCAUUCCCUCCGUGAUCUGGACAAAACAAGUGCCCUUGUCUACCAGUGGACGUCCUCAACUGCUAACAAGCACAUGUUUAAAACCCUGCGCAUUGAUACACAAAAUAUUCUCAUUGGUCACAAGAAACAAUCUGUGCCAAUAUUUGCAUCCAAUAUUGGUUUACUUGAGCCAAUCAGGGGCCCAGUAGAUGCAAAACCACUGCAGCCCAAACUGAACCCAACACUUGUUGAUCCUGACAAGGCUGACGACAACGCUGGGGGAGCCCAGCAAAGACGCUAGAUUUGGAUUUUCUGUCAGUGCAAGAGACAGAGAAUGUGAACAAGAACACAGUGUUUCAAUCAGAGAUCCUGGAUGCACCCCGGUCAUCGGUGAAGUCCCUGCCUCCGCUGGAAGAUGUCCUGAAGAACAUGAAGGUGACAACCACCACCAGGCGGCGCCGGGAGGAGCAUCUCUCAGAAGAGGCGGG
rnacentral:misc_RNA from 1 species